UACGUAGGGCGCAAGCGUUGUCCGGAAUUAUUGGGCGUAAAAGAGCUCGUAGGCGGUUUGUUGCGUCGGCUGUGAAAUCCCGAGGCUCAACCUCGGGUCUGCAGUCGAUACGAGCAAACUAGAGUGUUGCAGGGGAGACUGGAAUUCCUGGUGUAGCGGUGAAAUGCGCAGAUAUCAGGAGGAACACCGGUGGCGGAAGGCGGGUCUCUGGGCAACAACUGACGCUGGAGGA
rnacentral:rRNA from 1 species